rnacentral:lncRNA from 1 species
AAUGCCAUGGCUGGAGUUGCACAAUUCUUGCCCAGUGUGUCGAUAUGAGCUGCCUACUGAUGAUCCUGAUUAUGAGAAUAGGAAGACAUCACAGCAGCAGACUGCCAAUACUAGUAAUACGCAUGCCAACACUAGUAACAAUAAUACCAACAACAACAAUACUGGUGUGAUGUUUGGGGGUUUAGAAGGUGGGGGAGAUCAGGACAAUUCUCAGACACCUAGUACAGGGGAGAGGAGGCUUAGGAUACCAUUGCAAUGGCUUU